rnacentral:sRNA from 1 species
UCUUGCCAGGAUUUGAACCCAGGCGUUUAGCGUCAUAGGCAGACAUGCUAGCCUCUGCGCUACGGUGGCCUCUCAGUGGAAAACACUACAAACAGCUGGGUAAAAUCUCAAAAGCUUUUUCGAAAAACACUUUAAACUUGAAUUGUCAUAGAAAAGCUCAUCUGAGUCUUUUGAAAGAAGCUUUUACAAAGUAAAGUGUUCAAGUUUAAUACAGGGAUUAUAUAACAUCAGUCUUGUUUUAAACUUUGUGAGUGGUUUGAAAAGCCCAAAGCUUUGUAGAUCCCCUAAAAUACUAUUCCUGAAAGCUUUGUUAAACUUUAACAUUUUUUUUUGUAGAUUUAUAAGAAGAAAUCAUAUUUUAAAGUAUUUAUUUGCUAAAAUUUCAAUUCCCUUUGAAAGCUUUUAAGGGCAAAUAUCAAAAAUACCAGCAGAUGCUUGUAUAAUUAGAAGAUAACAACUAUAUGUAAAUAAAGUUUUUUAGGAUUAAAAGCUACCAGCAGCAACAAAUUUUCUCUCAAAUAAAAAGCUCUUGUAAAGCUUUAUUUUUGGAAAUCAUUUCCUUUUAUAAUAAGUGAAAAGCUUUUUUUUAGCAAUCUAUAGUUUUUAACGUUAUUAUAUAACAACGUCAUAGAUGCGCAUAACAAGAUCUUCAACAUUUCUAUAUAACAAAACUUUGGGAAAGCUUUUAAAACUUACAAAAUUAGGCUCUCUCAAAAACAAGCUUUUUUGGAGAGAUUUAAAUUCUUUCAAAAAACUUCUCUUUUCGAAAAAAAGGUCUUUUGUAACGUUUUUAUUAAAUUACAAAAAAAGCUUUCAAAAUUAAGUUAUCUCAAAAACAAGCUUUUUUGGAGAGCUUUCAAUUCUUUACAAAAAAAAACUUUUCCGAAAAGCUUUUAAACCUUUCAAAAAAUAAGUUUUUUUGUAAGGUUUUUAUAACAUUACAAAAAAAGCUUUCAGAAUUGAGUUCUCUCAAAAACAAGCUUUUUUGAAGAGAUAUCAAUUCUUUCAAAAAA